ACGAGUAGAAGCAAGUCUCCCGGAUGACUUCUCAAUAGACUCGCUUCAGUCUUGAUUGGGUAACUCAUCUAUCAUCUGUUUUUUUUGCAUUGUGAAUUUUUAUUUGUUUUGUUGUCGGUUGUGACUUAAAGUGGGGGUUUUGAGUAGGAGCUGAAGAAAGCAAUUUUCGUGGCUGUAGCAGAAGCUUAGUAGCAAGGUAAAGCUUCAAUUUCAGGUGGGUUCUCUAGGUUCCUAAACCUUGAUUUAAUAGAGACCUUAGUUUCCCCAAAUUUUGCCCCUUUGCAUGAUAACUUGGACUGUUUGGAAUUAUGCAGGUUGUUCAAUGUUGAAUCAGUUCAACCAGGGCUUGAGCCGAUGCAAACGCUUCCAUGGGCUUGAAAAUGUGCGCGCCUGA
rnacentral:lncRNA from 1 species